rnacentral:rRNA from 1 species
UACGGGGGGGGGCAAGCGUUUGUUCGGAAUUACUGGGCGUAAAGGGCUCGUAGGCGGCCAACUAAGUCAGACGUGAAAUCCCUCGGCUUAACCGGGGAACUGCGUCUGAUACUGGAUGGCUUGAGUUUGGGGAGAGGGAUGCGGAAUUCCAGGUGUAGCGGUGAAAUGCGUAGAUAUCUGGAGGAACACCGGUGGCGAAGGCGGCAUCCUGGACCAACACUGACGCUGAGUGAGCGAAAAGCCCAGGGGGAGCAAAACGGGG